GACGAACGCUGGCGGCGUGCCUAAUACAUGCAAGUAGAACGCACAGUUUAUACCGUAGCUUGCUACACCAUAGAAUGUGAGUUGCGAACGGGUGAGUAACGCGUAGGUAACCUGCCUGGUAGCGGGGGAUAACUAUUGGAAACGAUAGCUAAUACCGCAUAAUAUUAAUUAUUGCAUGAUAAUUAAUUGAAAGGUGCAAUUGCACCACUACCAGAUGGACCUGCGUUGUAUUAGCUAGUAGGUGAGGUAACGGCUCACCUAGGCGACGAUACAUAGCCGACCUGAGAGGGUGAUCGGCCACACUGGGACUGGGACACGGCCCAGACUCCUACGGGAGGCAGCAGUAGGGAAUCUUCGGCAAUGGACGAAAGUCUGACCGAGCAACGCCGCGUGAGUGAAGAAGGUUUUCGGAUCGUAAAGCUCUGUUGUAAGAGAAGAACGGGUGUGAGAGUGGAAAGUUCACACUGUGACGGUAUCUUACCAGAAAGGGACGGCUAACUACGUG
rnacentral:rRNA from 1 species